rnacentral:rRNA from 1 species
UACGGGGGGUGCGAGCGUUGUCCGGAAUCACUGGGCGUAAAGGGCGCGUAGGUGGUUUGAUAAGGGGUGUGGUGAAAGUCCGGAGCUCAACUCCGGAUCUGCCGUGCCGACUGUCAAACUCGAGGGCUGUAGAGGCAGACGGAAUUCCGGGUGUAGCGGUGGAAUGCGUAGAGAUCCGGAGGAAGACCGGUGGCGAAGGCGGUCUGCUGGGCAGUUUCUGACACUGAGGCGCGGACAGCGUGGGGAGCAAACAGG